rnacentral:misc_RNA from 1 species
AAAGUCGUAACAAGGUCUCCGUAGGUGAACCUGCGGAGGGAUCAUUACACAAAUACAAUAUGAAGGCUUCGGCUGGAUUAUUUAUUUCACCCUUGUCUUUUGCGCACUUGUUGUUUCCUGGGCGGGUUCGCCCGCCACCAGGACCACACCAUAAACCUUUUUUAUGCAGUUGCAGUCAGCGUCAGUAUAACAAAUGUAAAUCAUUUACAACUUUCAACAACGGAUCUCUUGGUUCUG